rnacentral:rRNA from 1 species
GGAAUCUACUCUGUCGUGGGGGAUAACGUAGGGAAACUUACGCUAAUACCGCAUACGACCUACGGGUGAAAGCAGGGGAUCUUCGGACCUUGCGCGAUUGAAUGAGCCGAUGUCGGAUUAGCUAGUUGGCGGGGUAAAGGCCCACCAAGGCGACGAUCCGUAGCUGGUCUGAGAGGAUGAUCAGCCACACUGGAACUGAGACACGGUCCAGACUCCUACGGGAGGCAGCAGUGGGGAAUAUUGGACAAUGGGCGCAAGCCUGAUCCAGCCAUACCGCGUGGGUGAAGAAGGCCUUCGGGUUGUAAAGCCCUUUUGUUGGGAAAGAAAUCCAGCUGGCUAAUACCUGGUUGGGAUGACGGUACCCAAAGAAUAAGCACCGGCUAACUUCGUGCCAGCAGCCGCGGUAAUACGAAGGGUGCAAGCGUUACUCGGAAUUACUGGGCGUAAAGCGUGCGUAGGUGGUCGUUUAACUCCGUUGUGAAAGCCCUGGGCUCACCUGGGAACUGCACGGAUACUGGACGACUAGAGUGUGGU